AUUUUCUAUUUUCUUCAUGGUUACCCUGGGAAUUUACAAUUAACAAUGCAGUUUGGGUAAAUACCAUCCCCUGUAUAUAGUCCCAUCCCCUCCACCUCAUUUGUUCUAUUGUCGUACAAAUUAUAUUUUUAUAUGUUACAUAUCCAUCAACAGACCUGCUAUUGCUUUAUGAAGUCUCUUUUUAAAUCAAAUAGGAGAGGAAAUAUCACUAAAAAGUACAUGUAUCCUGUCUUUUAGAGAAAUCACCUGUUACUUUUACUGGUGCUCUUUCCUUCACGUGGAUUAGAGUUAGUCAAACUUCCAUCUCAAACAAUUUGGUUCUUGACUAAGUUGUUCACAGAAAAAAUGUCUCAGUUGUCCACCAAAACUAAAGUUUUCAACCUGACAACCCUUUCAUGCUGAAACAUCAACAAGACAAAAAGCAUCUCUCAGGUAACAAGCAAAGGAGAGAAUGCUUUUGCUGCUGGCAAAAUAGAUGAGCACAAUUUUAAAACAUAAAGAGGCCAUCAAGAGUGCUGGUGUUGCUAAGGGUGUGGAAAGAAUCAUUGAUUAGAGAGGUAGA